rnacentral:rRNA from 1 species
AUUGAACGCUGGCGGCAGGCCUAACACAUGCAAGUCGAACGAGUGGCGGACGGGUGAGUAAUGUCUGGGAAACUGCCCGAUGGAGGGGGAUAACUACUGGAAACGGUAGCUAAUACCGCAUCCCAUCGGAUGUGCCCAGAUGGGAUUAGCUAGUAGGUGGGGUAAAGGCUCACCUAGGCGACGAUCCCUAGCUGGUCUGAGAGGAUGACCAGCCAAACUGGAACUGAGACACGGGCCAGACUCCUACGGGAGGCAGCAGUGGGGAAUAGUGCACAAUGGGCGCAAGCCUGAUGCAGCCAUGCCGCGUGUAUGAAGAAGGCCUUCGGGUUGUAAAGUACUUUCAGCGGGGAGGCGUUACCCGCAGAAGAAGCACCGGCUAACUCCGUGCCAGCAGCCGCGGUAAUUC